rnacentral:lncRNA from 1 species
CUAACUUGGGUUUUGAUGACUCUCUCUCCAGCUUUUGAAUUCCUCCUUCUCUCUCUAUUAGUUUUGAGUAUGUAAUCCUCGUGUAUAGGCUUGCUUGCGUAAUCGGUGGCCGUUGUAUUUGCCUGUUGUGCACCUCGUUUAUGGUGCUUGCGGUUGAGCGAGUUAAGGGUUGUUCUCGAGUCGUGUUUUAUGAGAUCCUCUUGAAUCUAUGACUAUAGCUGAUGGUUGAUUUGAUUCCUUUGUACAUGGAUUCCUCUGGAAGGCAUGGUAUUCACAGUGUUGGGCUGAUACUGAGUUCCUCAGAUUAGACCAUUUUAUUUUGAACUGGG